rnacentral:rRNA from 1 species
AUUGAACGCUGGCGGCAGGCCUAACACAUGCAAGUCGAGCGGUAGCACAGGAGAGCUUGCUCUCUGGGUGACGAGCGGCGGACGGGUGAGUAAUGUCUGGGAAACUGCCUGAUGGAGGGGGAUAACUACUGGAAACGGUAGCUAAUACCGCAUAACGUCGCAAGACCAAAGAGGGGGACCUUCGGGCCUCUUGCCAUCAGAUGUUCCCAGAUGGGAUUAGCUAGUAGGUGGGGUAACGGCUCACCUAGGCGACGAUCCCUAGCUGGUCUGAGAGGAUGACCAGCCACACUGGAACUGAGACACGGUCCAGACUCCUACGGGAGGCAGCAGUGGGGAAUAUUGCACAAUGGGCGCAAGCCUGAUGCAGCCAUGCCGCGUGUAUGAAGAAGGCCUUCGGGUUGUAAAGUACUUUCAGCGGGGAGGAAGGUGCUGAGGUUAAUAACCUCAGCAAUUGACGUUACCCGCAGAAGAAGCACCGGCUAACUCCGUGCCAGCCGCCGCAGUAA